rnacentral:rRNA from 1 species
GAUGAACGCUAGCGGCAGGCCUAAUACAUGCAAGUCGAGGGGUAGAUGGGGCUUGCUCCAUUGAGACCGGCGCACGGGUGCGUAACGCGUAUGCAACCUACCUUGAUCUGGGGGAUAGCCCGGAGAAAUCCGGAUCAACACCGCAUAAAACCACAGCAGGACAUCCUGCAAUGGUCAAACAUUCAUGGGAUCAGGAUGGGCAUGCGUGCCAUUAGCUUGUUGGCGGGGUAACGGCCCAUCAAGGCUACGAUGGCUAGGGGAUCUGAGAGGAUGGCCGCCCACACUGGUACUGGGACACGGACCAGACUCCUAGGGGAGGCAGCAGUAAGGAAGAUUGGUCAAUGGUGGCAACGCGGAACCAGCCAUGCCGCGUGCAGGAAGACGGCCCGCCGGGUUGUAAACUGCUUUUAUCCGGGAAUAAACCUAUCUACGUGUAGUUAGCUGAAUGUACCGGAGGAAUAAGGAUCGGCUAACUCCGUGCCAGCAGCCGCCGUAA